rnacentral:rRNA from 1 species
UUAAUGUAAACGGCCGCCCUAGCGUGAGGGUGCUAAGGUAGCGAAAUUCCUUGCCUUUUGAUUGUAGGCCUGCAUGAAUGGUUUAACGAGGGUUUAGCUGUCUCUAAAUUUUUAAUUGAAAUUGUAUUGAAGGUGAAGAUACCUUCAUUUAAAAGUUAGACAAAAAGACCCCGUGCAACUUUGAAAAUUAACUUUAUUCAGGGGUAAAAGAUUUUUAGGUGGGGCGCCUAGAAAGUAAGCCUAACCUUUCUGAGUAAGAGUUUCUUUCAGGAGUUGACCCGAUUAUAUUCGAUCAUAGGAGAAGUUACGCCGGGGAUAACAGGCUAAUCCUUUAGUAGAGCUCGUAUUGGCUAAAGGGAUUGGCACCUCGAUGUUGAAUCAGGGAUGAUAGCUUCAAGGCGUAGAGGCUUUGAGAGUAGGUCUGUUCGACCUUUAAUACCCUACGUGAUCUGAGUCAGACCGGAUAUCGCCUGUUUAUCAAAAACAUA